AACAUCUCCAUGUGGAAUCUAACUGUAUACAAGUAAAUCUAUCGAUUUAAAAAGGGUUUAUAACUAGGGCUUCCUUUCAACGUCCAUUGCCAGGCUUAAACAUGUUUAAUAAUUAGCAACAAAACCCUUAUGCAUUUUUCACUCACUAGUAGUAGUAUUAGUAGUAGUAUUCCUACACUUCUAUCUAGUUAGCUCUAAUGGAUCCUAGAAUCUCCUUCUCCAAUGAUUUUGCAGACACUCAACAAGCGAACAAGCACGAAUUGAGCUACCGAGAAGCGCCCGUCUCUUCAGAUUUCAAAUUCUCCGUGAACAACUUUGGAAUGAUCUCAGCAGACGAGAUCAUAUUCAAGGGCACAUUGUUGCCCUUGAAGGAUAAUGGUAUCAACAACCAGCAAGGGAAUAAGACUACUACUUUGAGAGAUGAACUACUAGUUGAUGAUGAAGAUUAUGGGGAUGUGCUGCCAAGGGCAACAAAGAGUUUGAGCAGGUGGAAGGAGCGUUUGGGGCUCAAGAGGGCUCAAAUUGUUGCGAAAAAAGGCGAUAGAGGCCAUUCGGUGUUGGAGAGGAUUGCAGAAGAGAGGAGGCCUGUGUUUGUUCAUGAGGCUGUGCUUAUUAGCAAGGAAAGCUAGGAAUUUCUAUUUGGAGGGUUCAGUUGUAGAGACGACGGAAUCUAAUAUGCAAAAGUUGGUAUCAUUAUGGACGGAAAAUUGAUUUCCUGCUUACUUUUUAGUUAUAUUAAUAUUAGAGUGGUUUUUGUGGGGAGUUGUAUGAGUUUUAGGGCUUGGCUUAGCAAUUCCUAGUUCUAUUUUUUUUCUCCAUUUAAUUCUAGACAGCGUAUUCAUCCUCCCUCUCCUCCAGAGAAGUAGAAGAUGAUGAUGAACAAGAAAGUAUAUUUGGCUGUUCCAUUUUGUACAAAUGUUUGCAGUUGAUGGAGGAGUUCUAUGAGUUUUUAUGUAAUUAAAUCUAUUGUCUUGAUCUAUCUGAUUUGGGUUUCUUUUGUUAUAUAUAUAUAUAUGGAUUUUGAUCUUCCGAA